CGCCGACCACACCCCCAAAUCACUGACAUCACAUCGAACACGCCCCCAAAUCACAGUGAUGUCAUCGCACUGACCACGCCCAGAAAUCCCAGUGACGUCAUCACACUGACCACGCCCCCAAAUCCCAGUGACGUCACAUCAACCACGCCCCAAAAUCCCUGUGAUGUCAUCACACCGACCACGCCCCCAAAUCACAGUGAUGUCAUCACACUGACCACGCCCCCAAAUCCCAGUGACGUCACAUCAACCACGCCCCAAAAUCCCUGUGAUGUCAUCACACUGACCACGCCCACAAGUGAUUCCUCCUAGUGAUGUCAUCACCCUGACCACGCCCCCAAUAAACCCCAAUGACGUCAUCACAUUGACCACGCCCACAGCCGCCAUUUUGCUCCACCACCUUUUAUUUCCCAGGGGCCUCCCCUGGGCCCCGCCCCCGCCCCGGUCACUGCUGUGGUCACUCUGGUGGUCACUGGGGUGGUCACUGUGGUCACUCUGGUCACUCUGGUGGUCACUGGAGUGGUCACUGUGGUCACUGUGGUCACUCUGAUGGUCACUCUGGUCACUUGAGUGAUCACAGUGGUCACUCUGGUGGUCACUGUGGUUGUCACUGUGACCACUGUGGUCAUUCUGGUUACUCUGGUGGUCACCGUGGUCACUCUGGUGGUCACUGGGGUGGUCACUGUGGUCACUCAAGUGAUCAGUGUGGUCACUCUGGUGGACAUUGUGACCACUGUGGUUGCUCUGAUGGUCACUCUGGUCACUCAGGCGGUCACUGUGGCCACUGGGGUCACUCUGGUGGUCACUCAAGUGAUCAGUGUGGUCACUCUGGUCACUCCAGUGGUCACUGUGAUCACUUUGGUGGUCACUGUGGUCACUCUGAUGGUCACUGUGGUCACUCCAGUGGUCACUCUGGUCACUCUGAUGGUCACUCUGGUCACUCUGAUGGUCACUGUGGUCACCCCGGUGGUCACUGUGGUCACUCUGAUGGUCACUGUGGUGACUCCAGUGGUCACUCUGGUCACUCUGAUGGUCACUCUGAUGGUCACUUUGGUUACUCUGGUGGUCACUGUGGUCACU
ensembl:lncRNA